UCUGUGGACUCUAAGCACCAGCCUGCUGUGGGGAAAGGUGGCUCCCCACAGCCAUCGGAAAGGCCCCUCUCCAUCCACUGGAGGCUACAGGCAGUCAGCUCUUCCAUGGAAGCCUGCUUUUCUAGAUGCUCAGUUUCUGCUCUUUCCUGAGAAAAACAUGUAGGGGAAAGGUUUGGAGAGGGGUGACCUGCAGAUUGAAGAAACAAACAACAAAGAGAGCAGUUGGCUUCAGAAACUCUGGGAAGGGAAGGGAGCUUUGUUUACCUCUUCCCCCCCCCAGGUGUCCCGGUUUAAAGGAAAGCCUCCAACUGACCAAUAAUCUUUCUAAAAGGAUGACAAACAAGGAGAAAAAAAGAAGGCAUUUCAUGGCAUCAUAAACAUCGCGCUUUAUUUUUCAUCUCACGGAGCCUGUCUGGGUUUGGUUACGCUCGGGAGCUCGACGAGCACUCAGAAGCCAACACGCAUAAGAAAAAUCACGUCACUGCCGCCACUGAGGCGCACGAAGGAGCAGUCGCGGCUCUCCGCGUCCAUCUGUGUGUGUCCAGCGGUCAUCAAUCACUCCAGGAAUGGGACCUGCGUGGGUGGAGCGGCACUCUGGUCCUCGGUAAAUAGCAAAGAAAUGUGCUCAAAGAGAGGCUGCGAGGGCACAGGGAGGUGUAAGUGAUGCAGAGUUAAGAAAGCUGGGACAUUUUCAGGGUCUUUAAACCUGAAGAGCCCCAGCGCCCAAGUGCUGGCCUGGUUCCAGGUCGGCUUGUCCUUUCUGGGUUCAUCAGAGGCUGCACAACUCAGCCAGAAUCUGCCUGUGUGCAAUCCUUAACUCACCCACGCCUCUUUUCCUCUUCUGCCCUGUGUUACAGAAGGGUGUGAGGCUCAGCCCUGUUCCCUCAUUAUUUGCAAAUGACCAGAUUUGACUCUACGGUUUGAGGCAGACAAGGGAGAGCAAGCUUGGUGGGCAGAAGGUCUGGAUUCUCAGCCCUCUCCUAAGUAGGCAUUGGGCCCUUCCCAGUCCUGUAUCUUUUAUAAUAUGGCCUGUGGGAAUGGCCCUUGUCAACUGUAAAGAACUUGGCAAAUGCCAAUGCUCUGAGAGUCAUACUAUGUUUACUAUGCCCUCAUGCCUGUGUUGAGAGGCUAAUUCUCCACGUGGUGAUAUUUGAGGCUGACCCUCUUUGGAAAAUAGAGUUUCAUGGGAGCAGGACCCUGUUCUGAUAGGAGGAAGGGCCCUAUAGUGUGUCACAUCAUCCCUACAAAGCUGUUAACAAAUGUGUACUCACCACAGAUAGGGAACUGACCACGGACCUAAGUACGGAUACUACCAAAGUCCAACUGGUUAAAUCAAUGAGUUUUAUUGAAGUUAGUUACAGACGCAGAAAUGACUCAAAGGCAGCUACAUCACCACAGCUCACCACAGCAUGAGUGACAGCUCACGAAAGCUGGGAAUAGGGACUUAUGCAUAACCUGCAGGCCACUCAGCAGGCUGGAGAAUGUUCUUUCCAGCUGGCUCAGUUGUUCUAUGCCUCCUCUAGCCAGCUCGUCUGAUCUCUGCUUCUUCCAGAAAAGAGGCCUGGUUUUUGAGAGUAUCUCUUGUCAGGCCUUACAGCUUAUAUAUGCUUGGGAGGAAGGGCCUAGAAAAGCUGGUCAGUUUUAGGAACUUCCUGAAGCCUUUUAAGUUGAUCUGGGGAGCCUGACCUUAAUCUUCUACCCCAGGAUGUCAGGAUUACCUUGGCGAAAUACAGGUUCAGCUUCCUAGAAUGUCUUUGCAUGCAAAUCACACGUCUUCAGAACCUUAAACCUCAGCCAAUGAAACUUCAACCUGAGAAGAAUCCCUUCCCACUUUCUAGAGUUCUAUAUAUAGCUCUUGAUUCACCCCAAAUUAAGUAUAUGUACACAAGCUGUUUUGUUGACUAUCAUCCAAGAGAGCUGUUUUCUAAAAGAGCUGUAACACUGAAA